rnacentral:rRNA from 1 species
UGGGGAAUCUUCCGCAAUGGGCGCAAGCCUGACGGAGCAACGCCGCGUGAGUGAAGAAGGUCUUCGGAUCGUAAAGCUCUGUUGAUGGGGACGAACGUGCCUAAUGCGAAUAGUAUUAGGUAAUGACGGUACCCAUCGAGGAAGCCACGGCUAACUACGUGCCAGCAGCCGCGGUAAUACGUAGGUGGCGAGCGUUGUCCGGAAUCAUUGGGCGUAAAGGGAGCGCAGGCGGGCAUGUAAGUCUUUCUUAAAAGUGCGGGGCUCAACCCCGUGAUGGGAAAGAAACUAUGUGUCUUGAGUACAGGAGAGGAAAGCGGAAUUCCCAGUGUAGCGGUGAAAUGCGUAGAUAUUGGGAGGAACACCAGUGGCGAAGGCGGCUUUCUGGACUGCAACUGACGCUGAGGCUCGAAAGCCAGGGGAGCGAGCGGG